UCCAAAUUAAAGGAGCUCCGCUACUAAAGCAGAUAAGGUUUUUGAAAUUCCUUUUGUGCUUUCUCUUUGUCAAAAAAGACUUCUGUUCUGUUCGGUAUUUGCAGGGAAAAAAAAAGAUAAUGUGUUUGGUAUUUUUGUUUUCGUUUUAAAUUUUUUAACGAAAGGGAGAUGAAGAAAAAGAAGAAAAAGGGGGAAGAUAAAUGCUGCAACUAUGGGUAAUUUAUCCCGACUUUACCCUACUUUUUAAACCAUGGCAUGAGAUAGGCUGGUCUCCCAAUAUUUCCUUAACCGAAGAGAGGAAAACCCUAAUUUUGUCUCUCCAAAGGGACGAAAGGAAGGGAAAAUUGGUGUUUUACUUCAAAGCGCGGGCAGAAGCUGGCAAUUAUAUCAUUUUCAUGAGUCUUGACAAGUACGAGAACGCGGAGCUCAUCAAAUAUGGCUUCAUCGAAGAUAUCUGGCUGCUGUUCAUAAAGAACCAAUCUUUUCCAUUCCUGGAACUCCAGCAAUAGUUCAGCAUGAAAUUUUAAAUAACAGAAGGCAUGUAUUAACUAAGGUACAAGAAGCACCUAAGCUCAGUGGAUCUUACAAAGGACUUCUUCUUCAGCUAUUCAUACAAUGUUAUGUGUAGUCUUCCAAAGAACUUGUAUAAUAACGAACCAGGUGAGGUUCUUUAUGAGACCAUGUUUGUUUGGAAUGAGUUCCUGACCCGAGGAAUCCGCAAUCACCUCAAGAAUACUCUAUGGACAGUUGCCUUGGUGUAUGGCUUCUUUAAGCAGGCAUCCUUUUCUGUAUCUGGAAGGAGUUUCAAACUUUUGCACAUUGCAAGACGAUCCCGUCACUAUGAACCUGCGAAGAGGUAAUCACUUAGGAAUAGUUAAA